rnacentral:lncRNA from 1 species
CUCGGCCUGCAAUGAUCUUCUUUCCAGCUUGAACUACAGGGUAGCUGUCAAUCUCAGUUGGGCUUUGUUUAAAUUGAGCAUCCAUCUCCAUGAAAAUGUUGAACAAGAGGAGAAAGGAGAAACUACACUGGAUUUGCCAAUACACAAAGGCGAAAAGUCAGUAUUGCCCCCGUAUCCCGGAGUAUCCUGCCGUAUCCGUUCGAUACAUCCGGAUACGUAUCUGUAAAUAAAUCUGAUUGUGGGGGCAAUAUUGACAUUUCAUCCUGGUUUAGCAUUUAGCGCGACAACUUGAGCUCUCUCACAGUCUCACUAGUUUGGGAAGCCGCAAUGGCAGCAGACAAGGCUGAAGAAGACGAGUCGGUUCCGGCGGCAGCUCCGCGUGGCCGUUACGUCAACAAGAGAAAGGUCUCAGGUACCCACCUUCAAAUUAGACCCUGAAAUUUUCUUCCUUUUAUGAUUUUGGUGAAUUGGGUUUUGGUGUGUCUUGGUUUCACAAGAGGAAGAAGAAUAUUGAACUUCUUGCAUCAGGGACUUCAUACGAGAGUCAUUUGUGUUAGAAAUAGCUGAAUUGAAUUCCAGUGUUUGAGGAAUCAGGUGAUUCCACAUUCGGCUGCUGUGGUGGUGUUGAACUAGUACUAGAAGCUGCUGACACUGCUGAAGGAGAUAGGUUCGGAGAUUUAGACUUUUAACUGUUGAACAUAUUAGACUGAGUAUCAGUGAUUGAUUUCUUAGAACUGUUUUUCACUUUCGUUAGAUUAGUUAGAGUUGUUAUCUGUGUUGUGUUGAUUUUGGGUUCUUGCUGUAAACGAGUUCAGGGAUGAAGGGUUUGGUGAUGGGAAUUUGAGGUUUGGGACUGUAGGGGUUUGGUAAAGGCUUGAAUUUGGUAACUGGGUUUAGAUCAAAAUUCUGGCUUUUAUAUGGGAACUGUGGAUUUGGUGAGAAAGAUUGAAAAUUUGAUGAUGGGUUGAAGAUUGUAGAAUAGACGAGCUAUACGACAAUCUGAAAGAUUGAACAUUCUCUAUGUGAGAAUGUUCAAUAUUUGAUGAUGGAUCCCAUAUGCCAACCGUGAAAUAUUGUAGGAAGCUUGCAGAUCGACCGGAUUGCAUAUAUUAACCGAGAAAUGUGAUAUUUUAUUCAUUUACAUUGGGACCGGUGUUUAAGAACUGUUUAGAUUCAUUACAGUCAGUUGAGCAGUAGCAUUUUUUUAUAACAAAGCUAAGAAUAUCCAACAUGCCAACCGCGAGAUAUUGUUGGGAGUCUUGGGAGUCUGACCAUGCAUAGCUCACAGAUUGUCGUAUAGCUCAAAGAGAAUGUAGUAUAACUUGAACUCCAUGUUGUGGACGAACUGUAAGAAACUGAAAAGGCGAGUGGACAUAAGCUGGGGAAAGGGUAAAUGAGUAGUGUUGUAGAAUCAUUGAGAGCGCAAUCUUUGCUUCAUUGGAAGCGAAGUUGAUUCCUGCACACAUUCUAGGUCCCAUUCCAAAGGGUGAGAAUGAACCCAUGUUAUCAUUAGUAGCUUUAGCAACCCCUUCAGAGAAUCUCUCUGGUUUGAAAAGUGCCGCUUCUUGUCCCCAUAUUUGAGAAUCAUGAUGAAGUGCUACAGUUGGGAUAAGCAAUUCAACAUUUGCAGGAACUUGGACUGCUCCCAGUUUUACUUCUCUUGGAACUAUCCUUCCGAUCAAAUUAACAGGAGGAUAUAACCUUAGAGUCUCAUUAAUAAUCAUGCUCAUCUGCAUGCAUCAAAAUAUAAAAAGAUAAGAGAUGAAACUGAGAUUAGUAAACUAACUUAGUUGCAGAUGCCCGUCAAUUAGACGAUCAUAUAUGUGUGUGCGUGUGUUUGUGUGUGUUUAUAUCUAUUUUUCAAUUGAGAUAGUGAUGUUCUUACUGUUUUGAGUUUGGAAAUGCCAUCAGAAUUUGGAGUUUCUUUGCCAAAUAACUGCAACACCUCCUUUCUUGCUUCCUCUUGCCAUUCAGGAUGUUGUGCCAGAAGAAAAACAGUCCAAGAAAGCAAAGUACUAGUUGUCUCCUGUCCAACAAAGUAUAAUGCCUUGCACUCUUCAACCACAUUGUCUAUCGAAAAUUUCUGGUCGUCAUUGAUGUCAUGAUGAGACUUCAAAAGUAAGCCAAGAAAAUCACUCCCAAAGCUCUCUCCUUCCCCGCUGCUUGCCUUCUGUUCUCUUUUCUUAACAAUCUCCAUUACAGAGUCUUGUAUUUCUUUCUCAAGCUUGUCUGCUUCAAUCUCACCGCUGGUUCUAUAAACCUUGCUGCUAUUUUGAAUGAGAAGCAACAUGCAUCAACCAAUUAAUCAAUAUUCAAUAGCUAAAAGAGAAAGAUCGAUUCUGGGAAGCUACCUGAUUCCAGGAAACCUGGUCUUGUACUUGUAAAGAUUUUUGAAUACUAUGAUGCUUAAAUUCUUCAACAUUUCAAAAAUGUUUUGUCCUUCUAAGUAGCUGCUGCCAAACGCUGUCCUGGCAAUCACUUCUGAAGUCAACAAUCUAAAUUCCUCAAACACAUCAGUCUCUUUUCCUUCAUGAUUUUUCCACCUUUCUAUCAUCGCCUCUGCACUAGCUGUCAUGUCUGGAAACAUAGCCUUGUAACAAAAUACCAUCAUACAACUAUUAAGUUUAAUAUUCUUGUUUUAGGAGAAUUUUAGAAAUAACUGUGUUUUUUUGAAACUUUCUUGAACUAAAACAUAUUGAUUUUUUUUUCAAUUAAAACUAAAACUGAAACAUAUUGAUUGAAGGACCUAAAUAAGUAUAUAUGGAACAGUCCUAGUCUAACCCAUGAUCUCCACGAUCAUAAUUUGAGAAGUAACAAACAGCCACAGGUCCAGAACUCAUGGUAUCUAAACAUAUUGCAGUAAGAAAGUAAGAAACAACUAUGAAGAGUAACUUACUUUUAAGCUCUCUCCAUGGAAGGCAUGGUUGGCCAGCUUUCUCAAAUUGGCCCAUUUUUCAUCUUCUGUCAUGGCAAGGCUAUCUCCAAAUAGCUUCUUCACAAUGUCACUAGGCUUUGGUUUUGGAAAAGCUCCAUCUUUGUUAUUGAAAAUCUCUUUGCAUGACUCAGGUUCUGUAACAACCAAAACUGGUUGAACACCAUACCACAUAAGAAAGUUCUUCCCUGUGUAACACAGCGCUUGGACCAAAUUAAAACAUUGAACAGAGUUUGAUAAUAAACUAUAUUUAGUUAAGUAACUAAGAGUUUGUGAUACCAUAUCUCUUCGACCACGAGUGAAUAUGAGGAUGAAGUCGAGGAAAUAUAUCAUGUGAUAAGUUUCUGGGCAUGAGCGCAGCUUCCUUUUGCAUGUUGAUGAUUUCUUUGCCGUUUCCAUACAGAAGUCUGUAUGGAGGACCUUUGAUUCCCCUCAGACUCAUCAGUUUCUGAAUCCGAAUAGGAGUCCACCAUAGUUUGUGAAACACCUUGAUUAGAGCUAAGAGAAGAAGAAACAGACACAGAAACCUUAACAUCAUGAUCAUCUUUCUUGUCAUUUUUCUUCCAGGCUCGGUCCGCUAUUUAACUUUUCUGGUAUUCAUUGAUAAUUAUUGUUGACUUUGACAUUUUGGCAGGCAAAGGAGUAUGACAAAUACUAGAGCCUAGAGAUCAAUCUUGUCCACAUCUUGAUGACACUAUAUGAAUAUGAAAUAAAAUGCCGUGGAGUAACUAAACAGGUAAAAAAACUGAGUAUGAACUGGUCAAAUGCCACCACUGGUGUGAAAGUUAAAUACGAAUAGUUAUUUUUAUUUUAUAAGCUACAAUAUGUUCUAGAUGGAAUGUAAGAUUUUAUGGGGAAAUUUUGGUCUUCACCAGUCAGAGUGAGUGUAGAAUAACUUGAAGUCCAUGCUGUGGACGAACUGUGAGAAAUUGAAAGGGUGAGUGGACAUAAGCUGGGGAAAGUGUGAAGGAGUAGCGUUGUAGGAUCAUUGCAAGAGCAAUCUUUGCUUCUAUGGUGGCAAAGUUGAGGCCAACACAAGUUCUAGGUCCCAUUCCAAAGGGUAAGAAUGCAGCCAUGUUGUUGUUGGUAGCACUUGCAACACCUUCUGAGAAUCUCUCCGGUUUAAAAACUUUCACAUCUUGUCCCCAGAACUGAGGUUCAUGAUGAAGUGCUAGAUUUGGGACAAGAAAUUCAACAUUAGGAGGGAUAGUAAGGUUUCCCAGUCUAACUUCCUUAUCCACGUUUCGUGCGAGGGUUAUAACAGGAGGAUAUAGCCUCAGAGACUCAUUGAUGAUCAUACUCAUCUGCAUCAAAAUAUAAAGAGCAGCUCAAGAUUAAUCGAACAUUUAUCCCAUUUAGACAAACAUAUACAUGAGGGCAGAGUUUUUAUACUUUCUUACUGUUUUCAGUUUAGCAAGGCCAUCAGGACUUGGAGGUUGUUUGCCAAAUAUUUGCAGGACCUCCUUUCUCGCUUCCUCUUGCCAAUCCGGAUGGAGAGCCAGAAGAAAGACAGUCCAAACAAGCAAAGAGUUGGUGGUAUCUUGUCCAGCAAAGUAAAACGUCUUGCACUCCUCAACCAAUUCAUUCACUGAAAUCCUCUGCUUGUCAUUGGCACCAUGGUGAGCCUUCAAAAGUAACCCAAGAAAAUCAGUCCCAAAGCUGCCUUCUUCUCCGGUCACUGCCUCCCUCUCUCUUUUCUUUACAAUUUCUACUAUGGUGUCACGUAUUCCUUUCUCAAGCUUCUCUGAUUCUUUCUCAUCACUAGUUUUAUAAAACUUGCUGCAAUUUUGAAUUCAAUAAGCUUAAGAAGUAACACCACUCGGUAGUUGAUAUCAUACAUCUUCAUUUAAGUAAUCAAGAACAUCAAAUAAUAGAAUAUCCAAAAACAGCUAAAAGGAACAUCAAUUGUUUCAAUUUAGAGGAAGGUACCUGAUGCCAGGAACCCUGAAUUUAUGAGCGUUUCUGAAUAUUAAGGAGCCUAACUUCAUCAACAUGUCAAAAAUAUCCUUCCCUUCUAAAUAGCUGCUACCAAAUGCUGUCCUAGAAAUCACUUCUGAAGUGAACCUCCUGAAAUGUUCAUACACCUCAAUCUCUUUUUCUUCAUGCUUCUUCCACCCUUCGAGCAUUGUCUCAGCACUAGCUAUCAUGUCUGGAAUCAUAUUCUAGCAAAACCCAACAGUACCCUAAUUUAGUAAGCAAAUUGUCCUACAAUUUGUGCAUUUCUUAUGAACAAUUGAGACAAGUACCACUACUUAAUACUACUACACUAAUCUUUGCAAGGGUCACCAGUAAGUAGUACUAUUUAUUCACAAAUUAAACAACUUGGUUUUGAGUCAGAGAUAAAUGCAACAAAGGUAACUUACUUUUAAGCUGUCUCCAUGGAAGGCAUGGUUGGAAAGCUUUCUCAGUUUUGACCAUUUUUCACCUUCUGCCAUGGAAAUGCUGUCUCCCAAUAGCUUCUUCACAUAGAUACUGGGCUUCUGUUUGGUGAAAACCCCAUCUUUGUUGUGGAGUAUCUCCUUGACUAACUCGGGUUCUGUAAUCACCAAAACUGGUUGAAGACCAUACCAUUGUAGAUAAUUCUUCCCUGUAGCAGAUAGUAAUUAACCACAAAAAGAUCACAUCUUUGAAGUAAGACUUGACAAAUAAACAUUUUUGAGUUAAGAGUUGGCUAAUUACCAUAGAUCUUGGUCCAUGAGUGAAUGUGAGGCUGAACUGCAGAUAGUACUUCAUGUGAUAAGUUCAGUACGGGCCUGCUCAUGGCUUCCAUUAGCAUGUUGCUGAUUUCUUUGUUGUUUCCAUGGAUGAGUUUGUAAGAAGGACCUCUGAUUCCCUGAGCAGCCAUGAAUUUCUGUGUACGAGUCGGAAUCCACCAUAGUUUAUGAAAGAUCUUGAUGAAUAUCAGAGCCAACAGAAGAAGGAAAGUACACAAAGCAGUGGGAAGAGUGAGCACUGUGUCUCUCAUCCAACUCAUCAUUUUUUUUCUUGUUGUUUGUGUUCGCUUUUGGGAUCUCUGUGUUACAUAGCAUGUUUGAAACUUUGAAAGGCCAUUGUUGACCCAAGCUAGGUGCCAUUAUUGGCCACACACUUAAAAUCAAAGAUCACUUUCCAAAAUGGAAAUAACUUGAGUGAUCUGCUAUGGUCAUUUAUAGCUGACAAACACGAAUGAGAGAUGAACAAGUGUCAACAAUAAUUAUAAACAAACAUGUUAAAAACCCAAAACCCUUCAUGUUAUAUCCUUAAAUUACAAUCAAGUCUUUUAAAAUAGAUAUGUGUCCCAUGUUUAUUGAUUAUGGUCACCUUAAGGUGACCAACCCUUGUCACCGAAAUUAUUUGUCACUGUUUAUUUGUUUAUUGGGUACCCUUAAGGUAACCAACCCUUCCAAAAUUAUGUACUGAUCUAUCUCACUGUCUCAGAAUAGUCAGAACAUUAGUUUUCUUCUUACAGAUUUGGAUUAUUUGUCUACAGAGCGCAGUGGAAGUAAUCUUCAUGCAAAGCUGAUGCUGGAAACUAACUCCGGAAAUGGAUGAAUGCUUCUUCACAGUAUUCAUAUGUAUCCUUAAAAUAUAUCAGUCUUAAUGAAGGGUCUAUUAGUCUUUGAAAUUUGCUUGCUAG